CACAGAGGUAGAUCGGCUUAAACCUGCGACGUCCUGUCGCAACGCCGAUCGACUGUACGUCUAGUGGU
rnacentral:sRNA from 1 species